UGUUUUAUCGACACAUUGCCUUAACCUCUCCACUGCUGGAGCAUCGCAUUCAGCCGCCCUAAUAUCCAUUAGAUGGCCAUCCAUUUGAGCUCUUUCUUGAAUCAAUUCGUCAAUGGGUUCCAUCUAGGCGUCGUGUCCUGCUGGGUUGAGGUGGUAUGAUCUCAGGAAAUUAUCCCUGCAAGAUAAACAAACCGUGUUACUCAAUGAUCAAUAUUCAAGCACAAAAUU